AUUCAGCUGACGAGUCUCAAAAGGGACGAAACUCACGUCCUGAAU
rfam:Schistosoma rodhaini strain Burundi genome assembly, scaffold: SROB_scaffold0005897